rnacentral:lncRNA from 1 species
CGAGAACGUUCACUGGAUUCUAUUUUUUUUAUGCUGUUAUGGUGCAGCCGAUGCAGAUGAGGCAGUCCAUGACAUCAAUCAUUUGCAGGAGGUUUCAUUCAUAGCAUAGGUGUUGACGCAUGUAAUGCAUCUUUUAAAAACCAAUUCUAAUGAAAUAUUAGGUAAUAGACUCACACAUUCACCUAGAAAAAUGAAUUUCCUCAUUUGAUCAAAUGUUUACUAGAAUUUUUGAAAUGCCAGACAACUUGGAUAACACUAUAAAUAAGUUUGGACGUAUCUACGCAAUAUGCUUCCAUAUACUACAUAAUAUAAACUACGUUGUUUACUAACAAAAAUGAAGUCAUUCUGAGGUCCAAGAACAUUUAAUAUGCGUUAUUACGCACCUAUAAUAUAUAAAACUAAUAACAUACAGAUUACAGAGUCAGAGAAAAAAUGUCGAAAAGUUAUCUCUUGAAAUUGAUUAUAUUUCUUACUCAUAAUGAUAAAUAUGUAAUACUUAUUAUUUCACAAUAAUGACAAAACAGUUUUAAGUGUUAUAAUUUUAUUGAUGGGUGCAUUUAGUGCUGGUAUGUAUGCGGCUUUGUCUUUUUUAAUGCACCAUUGUUUAUGUAUGCUAAUUUGAAAAGAAAAAACAAAAUCGCACUUUGUUUUGAUAAGUCUAAUGUCUACUGUCUAGUCAGCACUGAAGUGAAUCAUAUUGACAUAUGCAUUUCAAAUUAUGGAUAAUUAUUUUUAACUCAAUAUAAUGGGGUCCAAAUGAAAAAUUUAAAAACAAUACAUCAUUUGGAUUUCUCCAUAAUUAACUAAUGUAAUAAAAUAAUCAACUCAAGACAAAAUAUAAGUUAUUAUUAA